UCCGGUGGUUGUGUCGAGAGGGUCACACCCGUUCCCAUCCCGAACACGGAAGUUAAGCCUCUUGGAGCCGAUGGUACUGCGCGGGCAACUGCGUGGGCUUUAUUAUUGUCAGAU
rnacentral:rRNA from 1 species